rnacentral:rRNA from 1 species
AUAUGCCUUUAGGUGGGGGACAACAGUUGGAAACGACUGCUAAUACCGCAUAAUGUCUACGGACCAAAGAGGGGGACCUUCGGGCCUCUUGCCUUUAGAUUAGCCCAAGUGAGAUUAGCUUGAUGGUGGGGUAAUGGCCUACCAUGGCGACGAUCUCUAGCUGGUUUGAGAGGAUGAUCAGCCACACUGGGACUGGGACACGGCCCAGACUCCUACGGGAGGCAGCAGUGGGGAAUAUUGCACAAUGGGCGAAAGCCUGAUGCAGCCAUGCCGCGUGUGUGAAGAAGGCCUUCGGGUUGUAAAGCACUUUCAGUCGUGAGGAAAGGGUAUUGUUUAAUACGCAAUAUCUGUGACGUUAGCGACAGAAGAAGGACCGGCUAACUCCGUGCCAGCAGCCGCGGUAAUACGGAGGGUCCGAGCGUUAAUCGGAAUUACUGGGCGUAAAGCGUGCGUAGGCGGUUCAUUAAGUCAGAUGUGAAAUCCCGGGGGCUCAACCUCGGAACUGCAUUUGAAACUGGUGAACUAGAGUAUUGUAGAGGGUGGUGGAAUUUCCGGUGUAGCGGUGAAAUGCGUAGAGAUUGGAAGGAACAUCAGUGGCGAAGGCGGCCACCUGGACAAAUACUGACGCUGAGGCACGAAAGCGUGGGGAGCAAACAG